rnacentral:lncRNA from 1 species
UUUUUUUGGCUAAAAAUAAAUAUGACCAUUAAUAAAGGUCUAAGCCCAAGGAGAGUUACAAAACAGGAUGAAGGCCCAAAUAAAACUACAAAUACUACCCAAGGCCCAUAACCCAUGCCAAAAGAAAACAACCCGACUUACAACCGGGCACAGGAUCCACGUAGAGGAUAUGAACCAACAAAACAUUGCAAGCGUCACAGAUUAUCUCUUGGUAGAAUAAGUAUGUUCAGAUCUACCCAUCACCG